AGUAACAUAAGGAAAACUUUCCCACAGGAGAACCUCUAGGGGAACCUUCAGGGAACGUUCCCAGAACCUUCAGGGAACAUUUCAGAAAAUGCCUCCCAGAGAGUUUGUGGUGCAACACACACCAGAGUGUGCGACCUACGUGGCUGCCCCACGGUGAGAGAUCCUGACGCUCAGACCUCGUGCGACUGCAUGACCCUGUUUGGACAACUGGUUCCCAUCGCCGCCACAGGAG